rnacentral:rRNA from 1 species
ACGGCCGUACCAUGCUGAAUAUACCGGUUCUCGUUAGAUCACCGAAGUCAAGCAUCAUUGGGCGCGGUCAGUAUUGACCACCUGGGAACACCGCGUACCGUU